rnacentral:rRNA from 1 species
UACGUAGGGGGGCUAGCGUUGUCCGGAAUCAUUGGGCGUAAAGCGCGCGUAGGCGGCCAGAUAAGUCCGGUGUGAAAGCCACAGGCUCAACCUGUGAAUGCCGCUGGAAACUGUCUGGCUAGAGUCCGGGAGGGGCGAGUGGAAUUCCUGGUGUAGCGGUGAAAUGCGCAGAUAUCAGGAGGAACACCAAUGGCGAAGGCAGCUCGCUGGAACGGAACUGACGCUGAGGCGCGAAAGCGUGGGGAGCGAACAGG